UUUGAAGAUAUGGAGAAGAUUAAUCAAGAGGAGCAUCAAUUAUGGAUGAUAGAUGAAGGACAUGAAUUAGAUCAUGGUGAAAUUUGUGAUAAUAAUAAUAUGAGCCACUCAUCUUCAUCAUCAAUUUCAUCAUCUAUUGGUGAAGGAUCAUCAAACAUCUCUAAUGGAUCUUGUUGUUCAUCUUCACUUGAUACAACAGAUGAUGCAUCUUCAUCACCUUCUUCUGAUGAUGGAGCUUUAUAUGACUUAUCAUCCCUCAUGUCACAACUACCAAUCAAGAGGGGAUUAUCUAAGUUUUAUGAAGGGAAAUCACAGUCUUUUACAUCUUUGUCAAGAGUUACAAGUUUAGAAGAUCUUGCUAAGAAAGAAUCACCAUACAGAAGAAAAAUGAAGUCUUGUAAGAGUUAUGGAGCUGGAUUGGAUUCUUAUAAAUCAUAUACUCUUCCUAAGGCAACUAUAUUGAAGAAAGCUUCUAAAAGUUCAUCAUUUUCAUCAUAUGGAAAGGCAAGUUUUAUCAGCAGAAGCAGGCCCCCUCUAAUCCCUGUGCAAGAGAUAUAGUGUGUAGUACAGAAAACAAAAGAAAAUAAGGAGAGUGUUGUAUUUAUUUAUUCAAACAGAAAGAGAGAUCUAGGCUAGAGAGUGAGAAAGAGUUGUGUAUAUGUAUACUUCAAUUUUGGAUAUGUUAUUGCAUUUUUG
rnacentral:misc_RNA from 1 species